AUGAGCUGGGUCAGACUUGGAGGUCAGUGGGGCUGUGAACAUCAACCCCCAGGCUGCCUCUUCUCUCAUCUGCAGGAGGGGAGGCCUAGGCAGAAGGGAGGGGCCCCCACCCACCCGAGGACGGUCCUGCCACUGGCCAGCAGCCUGUUGAGGGCAGCCUCCUGGGCAGCUGUGAGCCGGGGACAGUGCUGCAGAUUCUGCAGCACAUGGGGGUCUGCUGCCACGAUGCUGGAAGCGUCCAUGUCACACACCAGGACCCCGAGGAGCAGCAGGUCGGAGGCGCUGAGCCUUGGCUGGGGCCCUCCCUGUAGGAUAGCAGGUCAGCAUGAGCCUGGUCCCACAGCCCAUCACCCGGCCAGCAAGCCCACGGCGCCUACCAAGCAGACCAGGGCCCUGUGCCGCAGGGCGGUCCUCUGGUCGGGCAGAUUGGCCAGCAACUCUGUGUCUCCCUGGGCGGCGCGGCGGAUGAAGGCCCGGCAGUCCGCUUCCUUCACCUGCGUCAGGCUGCGGAAAGGUUGGGGGGCCGCUGGGAGGGCCGACGGGGGGCCUCUGAGUGACGGAGGUGCCCCCGGGAGCGUGCUCAGCCCGCAUGGCCAGGUGCUGGGUGGGGAAGGGCACUCACUUAUAGAAGAGCAGCAGGUCGGGGGGGUGGAGCUCGAAGUCGCCCUGGAGGCCUUGUCGGGCGGCCAGGUUGGCCAGGCAGCUGAGCUGGGCAGGGCGGGCAGCACAUCACUCACUGCAUGGCCUGGGCUCUCCUGGGCCCUCCGCUCUGACUGGGACCUCCCUGGAGCCCCCACCCACCUCUCAGUUCUGUCCCGUGUCCACCAACCCCUCCUGCCUGGCAGCUCUCUGUCACUUGACUUCCUGUCCGCCUCUUCCUGCAUCCACCUCCAGGUGAGAACAGGACAGGGAACACCAGCCCCAGAGCCCCUCCCCUCCGGUGUCGGGCCCCACCAUGGUGGCUCACUAAGGGUCCACUUACCCAAUCCACCCCUGCUGGACAUCUUGUCCCGUUCCCCUCAGGUCAUGUCAAAUGUAUUACUGAUUUUACAUUAA
rnacentral:lncRNA from 1 species